GGGCUUGUGGUACAGUGGUAGCACGUUCGCUUAGCAUCGGUUCUGGCGCUUGCGAAAGGUCCUGGGUUCAAUUCCCAGCAAGUCCA
rnacentral:tRNA from 2 species